CGUUCCGGAGCCGCCAUGUCGUCCGACUUCGAAGGUUACGAGCAGGACUUCGCGGUGCUCACUGCAGAGAUCACCAGCAAGAUUGCGAGGGUCCCACGACUCCCGCCUGACAUGUGAGUAUUCAAAGAAAAUGAAUGAAAGUAUGUAGCCUAUGGAUCUACAAUCUACAGCGGCGUUGUUGUGUUAGUAAUAAUAUUGUUAUAAUUAUAUGCGGCAAAAUAGAGGUAAGAAUCAGGGUGCCUAGAUUCAAAUCCUACCUCUGUCACUUAGAAGUUGUGCCUCUUAACCCGGGAGGCGGAGGUUGCAGUGAGCCAAGAUCUCGCCAUUGCACUCCAGCCUAGGCAACAAGAGUGAAACUCCGUCUCAAAUAAAUAAAUAAAAUAAAAGUUGUGCCUCUUAAACAGACUUCUUAGUCUCUUUCAACUUUCCUUCUUAGUAAAUGGGGGAAAAUUGUACUUCUCUCAUGGGGUUGUUAGGUAGAUUAAAUUUAUAUAACAUAUUUAAAGUCACUUUUGGUGUUGUUAGUUGCUGUAUUAGCAUUAGUAUUUUUCAUACCCCCCACCCCCAUUUCUUGUUUCUCAUCCUUCUUGGGGAUUUAUUGUAUAACCCAGUUUCAUGUAAAACUUGGUACAAGAUAAUUUUUCACACUUAAAAAUUUCACAUCUCCCAUCUGGAAAUGUUUUUGUUUUUGUGUUUCCUUUUGUGUUUUAGCACAUCUUAUUUUCUAUGCUAGACUGUCAACUAUGUGAAGGUGGGAGCUGUGUCUGAUUUCCUUGGCGUUUACUUAUUAGGGGCUCAGGAAAAUAAGUGAAUGAGCAGGGAUAUUUGCUUGAAGCCAGGAUCUCUGAACUUAUACCCCACUCAUCUCCUGAAGUCCCCAGUUAGUUCUGGAGGAGAUGGAUGAUGUCUUAAAGAGGUUUAUGAGUCCAAGUAAGGGAACAAGAGGAGAGAACCAAGGUAGUAUAUACCACCAAGCUCUGCUGCCUCAGAGAUUUUUGUGUCGAAAGUGGCUGAUGGCCUCAUCUCUUCAUGAUACAUCACCUCGCCUCUUCUCUUCAGUUCUGCUUUUCUCCACUGCCGGAGAUCGUCUUGAUUUUUGUUAUUGUUGGAGACUACUUCCUUUGAAUUGAGUCCCAGAGCCUCAGAGUAUCAGGACUUGUGGUUCCAGUUAGAGUUUUACUCAUUUUUAAUUGUAAUUGUUUUAGCAGUAGAAACAUUUCUUUGGGUUAUUAGUUUUUGUAUUGGGAAGCUGUUUUACAAGGUAACAAAAUCAUCCUUGGAUGCAAAGUUGUAAAUUUCCAAGAAAACAGAUCGUGUUACAAUUUUUUUCUUGCCUUUAUAUUUUAAUGUGACAAUUCUUAACACAUAGAAGGAAACUUUUUGAAUUCAGUACCUUAAAAAUAAAACUGGGCAGAGCCCGGUGGCUCAUGCCUAUAAUCCCAAAACUUUGGGAGGCCGAGGCAGACGGAUCACCUGAGGUCGGGAGUUUGAGACCAGCCUGGCCAACAUGGAGAAACCCUGUCUCUACUAAAAAUACAAAACUAGCUGGGCGUGGUGGCACAUGCCUGUAACUCCAGCUGCUCAGGAGGCUGAGGCA
rnacentral:lncRNA from 10 species